GGAUUAGAUACCCUGGUAGUCCACGCCCUAAACGAUGUCAACUAGUUGUUGGGAAUUAACUUUCUCAGUAACGAAGCUAACGCGUGAAGUUGACCGCCUGGGGAGUACGGCCGCAAGGUUGGAACUCAAAGGAAUUGACGGGGACCCGCACAAGCGGUGGAUGACGUGGUUUAAUUCGAUGCAACGCGAAAAACCUUACCCACCUUUGACAUGGCAGGAACUUUCCAGAGAUGGAUUGGUGCUCGAAAGAGAACCUGCACACAGGUGCUGCAUGGCUGUCGUCAGCUCGUGUCGUGAGAUGUUGGGUUAAGUCCCGCAACGAGCGCAACCCUUGCCAUUAGUUGCUACGAAAGGGCACUCUAAUGGGACUGCCGGUGACAAACCGGAGGAAGGUGGGGAUGACGUCAAGUCCUCAUGGCCCUUAUAGGUGGGGCUACACACGUCAUACAAUGGCUGGUACAAAGGGUUGCCAACCCGCGAGGGGGAGCUAAUCCCAUAAAGCCAGUCGUAGUCCGGAUCGCAGUCUGCAACUCGACUGCGUGAAGUCGGAAUCGCUAGUAAUCGUGGAUCAGAAUGUCACGGUGAAUACGUUCCCGGGUCUUGUACACACCGCCCGUCACACCAUGGGAGCGGGUCUCGCCAGAAGUAGGUAGCCUAACCGCAAGGAGGGUGCUUACCACGGCGGGGUUCGUGACUGGGGUGAAGUCGUAACAAGGUAGC
rnacentral:rRNA from 1 species